rnacentral:rRNA from 1 species
CUACGGGAGGCUGCAGGCGAGAAACCUUUGCAAUGUGCGAAAGCACGACAAGGUUAAUCCGAGUGUCUCCUGCUAAAGGAGUCUUUUGUCAGUUGUAGAAUCACUGGUGAAUAAGGGGUGGGCAAGUUCUGGUGUCAGCCGCCGCGGUAAAACCAGCACCUCGAGUGGUCAGGAGGUUUAUUGGGCCUAAAGCAUCCGUAGCCGGUUGCAUAAGUUUUCGGUUAAAUCGAUGCGCUCAACGUAUAGGCCGCCGAAAAUACUGUGCAGCUAGGGAGUGGGAGAGGUACACGGUACUCAAUAGGAAGGGGUAAAAUCCUUUGAUCUAUUGAUGACCACCUGUGGCGAAGGCGGUGUACCAGAACACGUUCGACGGUGAGGGAUGAAAGCUGGGGGAGCAAACCGGAUUAGAUACCCCCGUAGUC